AUUUCAAUUAACAUAAAUCCUUAUCAGGGAUUGAAAC
rfam:Gloeocapsa sp. PCC 7428, complete genome.